AUUGAACGCUGGCGGCAGGCCUAACACAUGCAAGUCGAGCGGAUGAAGGGAGCUUGCUCCUGGAUUCAGCGGCGGACGGGUGAGUAAUGCCUAGGAAUCUGCCUGGUAGUGGGGGAUAACGUCCGGAAACGGGCGCUAAUACCGCAUACGUCCUGAGGGAGAAAGUGGGGGAUCUUCGGACCUCACGCUAUCAGGUGAGCCUAGGUCGGAUUAGCUAGUUGGUGGGGUAAAGGCCUACCAAGGCGACGAUCCGUAACUGGUCUGAGAGGAUGAUCAGUCACACUGGAACUGAGACACGGUCCAGACUCCUACGGGAGGCAGCAGUGGGGAAUAUUGGACAAUGGGCGAAGGCCUGAUCCAGCUAUGCCGCGUGUGUGAAGAAGGUCUUCGGAUUGUAAAGCACUUUAAGUUGGGAGGAAGGGCAGUAAGUUAAUACCUUGCUGUUUUGACGUUACCAACAGAAUAAGCACCGGCUAACUUCGUG
rnacentral:rRNA from 1 species